AGGUUCCCUUCUGACCCAGGGUGUGUCUAGAAAUGUUGUUCAGGAGCUAGGGCCUGGAAAAAGGGCCUCAUGACUCUGACUGGUGCCCUAUACUGUUGUGGCUGAGCUAGUAUCCAAGAUGCAAGACAAAGUCCUCCCCACUCUUUGCUCUCCUUUCCUCAAGUGGAGGGAAGGGGUCUCUUUAGGAGUUGUAAGCUGUGUAGCCUGGGAUUAGGGAAGGGAUGAUGUCUGUCCUCCCUUAGCUGCUCAGGCUGGUGUCUCAGUAGGCUGCAUACCCCACUAGUCCGCUGGCUCUGGGCCCAGUUCAGCACUAGGACUUGCCUAAAAGUUUGCAGUCCUUGUGGCCUAGACUGCCUUUCAACUUUAUUUAGAGUCCCAGAGUGCUUUGGCCCACAAUGGUGAGACUUGCAGGAACUCAAGUUCAGACUGCUGGGAUCAGUCAAUCCCUCCUGGCUAGGGCUGGUUUAAAUGCUCACUCUGUAGGUGGGCAUCAGCUGAAUUUGGUUGUUUUUUUUUGUUUUGUUUCCUUGCUAUAACAGGGCAACACUGAGUUCAGUGCCUCACAACUGCUGUGCUGCUCUUCCUCUUCCCAGAGCAAAGAAACACCUUGGCACCAUGCCAACACUGUCAGGAAGGUAGAGAGGUGGCGUCAGCAAUUCAAUCACCCAGCAAUUCAGGGUGAUCAGUGGAGCCUUUUGUUCUGCCAUAUUGCUCCACCUAAAGGAGUGUGUUAUUUAAUUUGUGAAUUUUCCUCCUGUUUCUAGUUUCAUACCUUUGUGGUCAGAAGAUAUUUGAUACCAUUUCAAGCUUCUUAAAUGUGUUAAGACUUGGUUUGUGGCCUACACAUAAUCUAUUUUGGAAAAUGGUCCUUGUGCCCUUGAGAAGAAUGUGUAUUCUACUGCUGUUGGAUGGAAUGUUUUGUAUAUGUUUGUUAGGUCCAUUUGUUCAAGUCUGACAUUUCCUUAUUGAUUUUCUGUCUGGAUGAUCUAUCCAUUGUUGAAAGCAGAGUAU
rnacentral:lncRNA from 10 species